rnacentral:rRNA from 1 species
CAGUCGCCACGGUAAAACGUAGGGUGCAAGCGUUAAUCGGAAUUACUGGGCGUAAAGCGUGCGCAGGCGGUUCGGAAAGAAAGAUGUGAAAUCCCAGGGCUUAACCUUGGAACUGCAUUUUUAACUCCCGGACUAGAGUAUGUCAGAGGGGGGUGGAAUUCCACGUGUAGCAGUGAAAUGCGUAGAUAUGUGGAGGAACACCGAUGGCGAAGGCAGCCCCCUGGGAUAAUACUGACGCUCAUGCACGAAAGCGUGGGGAGCAAACAGGAUUAGAUACCCGCGUAGUCCCUGUCUCUUAUAC